rnacentral:rRNA from 1 species
CUACGGGGGGCAGCAGUGGGGAAUAUUGGACAAUGGGCGGAAGCCUGAUCCAGCAAUGCCGCGUGAGUGAUGAAGGCCUUAGGGUUGUAAAGCUCUUUUACCCGGGAUGAUAAUGACAGUACCGGGAGAAUAAGCUCCGGCUAACUCCGUGCCAGCAGCCGCGGUAAUACGGAGGGAGCUAGCGUUGUUCGGAAUUACUGGGCGUAAAGCGCACGUAGGCGGCUUUGUAAGUUAGAGGUGAAAGCCUGGAGCUCAACUCCAGAAUUGCCUUUAAGACUGCAUCGCUCGAGUCCAGGAGAGGUGAGUGGAAUUCCGAGUGUAGAGGUGAAAUUCGUAGAUAUUCGGAAGAACACCAGUGGCGAAGGCGGCUCACUGGACUGGUAUUGACGCUGAGGUGCGAAAGCGUGGGGAGCAAACAGGAUUAGAUACCCCGGUAGUC